UGAAUACGAGGCACUAAGGUGCUGAAGUAGUGUAUGUCAUACUUCCAAGAAAAGCUUGCACUAUCGUAAGAUAAAAAUGCCUGUACCAUAACCGACACAGGUGGGUAGGUAGAGUAUACUAAGGGGCGCGAGAUAACUCUCUCUAAGGAACUCGGCAAAAUAACUCCGUAACUUCGGGAGAAGGAGUGCCUUAUUCUAUAAGGUUGCAAUAACAAGAUCCAAGCAACUGUUUAUCAAAAACACAGGUCUCCGCUAAGUCGUAAGACGAUGUAUGGGGGCUGACGCCUGCCCAGUGCCAGAAGGUUAAAGAAGUCGGUUAGCAAUUGCGAAGCUGGUAACUGAAGCCCUGGUGAACGGCGGCCGUAACAAUAACGGUCCUAAGGUAGCGAAAUUCCUUGUCGGGUAAGUUCCGACCCGCACGAAAGGCGUAAUGAUUUGGAUACUGUCUCGGAGAGGGACUCGGUGAAAUAGACUUGUCUGUGAAGAUGCGGACUACCUGCACCAGGACAGAAAGACCCUAUGAAGCUUUACUGUAACUUGAAAUUGAAAUUGGACUUUAUUCGCGCAGUAUAGGUGGGAGGCGUUGAUUAUAAUCUUGUGGGAUUAUUGGAGCCAUUAGUGAGAUACCACUCUUGUAAUGUUAGAUUUCUAACUUUGAAUCAUGAUCUGGUCAAAGAACAGUAUCAGGCGGGCAGUUUGACUGGGGCGGUCGCCUCCUAAAUGGUAACGGAGGCGUACAAAGGUUUCCUCUGAACGGGUAGAAAUCGUAUCUAGAGUGUAAAGGCAUAAGGAAGCUUGACUGUGAGACCCACGAGUCGAGCAAGGACGAAAGUCGGUCUUAGUGAUCUGACGGUACUGAGUGGAAAGGCCGUCACUCAACGGAUAAAAGUUACUCUAAGGAUAACAGGCUGAUCUCCCCCAAGAGUUCACAUCGACGGGGAGGUUUGGCACCUCGAUGUCGGCUCAUCGCAUCCUGGGGCGGUAGUACGUCCCAAGGGUUGGGCCGUUCGCCCAUGAAAGCGGUACGCGAGCUGGGUUCAGAACGUCGUGAGACAGUUCGGUCCAUAUCCGGUGUAGGCGUUAGAAUAUUGAGAGGAGCCUUCUUUAGUACGAGAGGACCGAGAAGGACAUACCUCUGGUGUACCAGUUAUCGUGCCAACGGUAAGCGCUGGGUAGCUAUGUAUGGAGUGGAUAACCGCUGAAAGCAUCUAAGUGGGAAGCCCACCUCAAGAUAAGUAUUCU
rnacentral:rRNA from 1 species